UUCUCAGUUCCCUUCCGGUAUUAUUUCCGUUCCUAAGGGAGAACUUCCGGGAGCGACAGAAGUAAAGGUUACCCAGCUAGAAACUGAGUCAGGAUCCUUCUGCGUUAUUACCGGUUUCCUGGAUUCUGGGGAAGGCGCCAUCGUGGAAGAACCGUUCCCGGACAGAUUGCCUGAAAAUGUAACUGUCAGAUUCCAGUGUCAGACGCCAUGGGCAGCUUGGAGUCCAAGUCCUCUACUCCUUUCGAAUGUGUUCUAAUUUCAGAAAAAUCUGCACUCCAGAUAAAGAAAGUAAGUAUGGGACUAAAUUUUCUAAACAGAAAGCCUGCACCCUUUGUGAACUUGUAUGGCCUCCACUUGGGGAGGGGUAGCCUCAGCAGGGAACCUUCCAUUUAACUGUUGUCUUAAAUCUUUGGGAAAAAGUCAAUGGGAGUGGCAGGCCCUGCCUUCCUGACCAAUUCCCAUAUAUUGAUAUUUGGCUGAAUCUCAUAGAAGAGCCACCUGUGUGGCUCCUCCAGUGUUCCCUGUGGGGAGGGGAUCCUAUUUUCUCUGGACAGAGGCCCAGUAACAGGCCCACACAAGCCCAAGUUCUUUUGGCCUUGGCCAGGAAGCCUUGGUCAUCCAAUCAGCCUGAUGUCCUCCAAGCUCCAUCAGAAGAAGAUUCCCAGUGACCACGAAGGGACCCCUCCCCUCCUCUGUAUCCCUCAGCCUCACCAUUGAGCCCCGACUCCACUGCUAGAGGUUCUCCUAACAUUUUCUCUCCUCCCACACCAGGUCUGGCCAAGAUUAUGUUCAUGAGGUAGACCCCACAAAGAGUCAAGGACCUCAUUCCCCUGCCUCUCCCACCUCUCCAUAUAGCCCAGCACCUCUCUUCCCC
rnacentral:lncRNA from 1 species